UACGGAGGGUGCGAGCGUUAAUCGGAAUUACUGGGCGUAAAGGGCGCGUAGGCGGCCUGCUAAGUCGAACGUGAAAUCCCCGGGCUCAACCCGGGAACUGCGUCCGAUACUGGUGGGCUUGAAUCCGGGAGAGGGAUGUGGAAUUCCAGGUGUAGCGGUGAAAUGCGUAGAUAUCUGGAGGAACACCGGUGGCGAAGGCGGCAUCCUGGACCGGUAUUGACGCUGAGGCGCGAAAGCUAGGGGAGCAAACGGG
rnacentral:rRNA from 1 species